rnacentral:rRNA from 1 species
GAUGGGAGCUUGCUCCCUGAUGUUAGCGGCGGACGGGUGAGUAACACGUGGGUAACCUGCCUGUAAGACUGGGAUAACUCCGGGAAACCGGGGCUAAUACCGGAUGGUUGUUUGAACCGCAUGGUUCAAACAUAAAAGGUGGCUUCGGCUACCACUUACAGAUGGACCCGCGGCGCAUUAGCUAGUUGGUGAGGUAACGGCUCACCAAGGCAACGAUGCGUAGCCGACCUGAGAGGGUGAUCGGCCACACUGGGACUGAGACACGGCCCAGACUCCUACGGGAGGCAGCAGUAGGGAAUCUUCCGCAAUGGACGAAAGUCUGACGGAGCAACGCCGCGUGAGUGAUGAAGGUUUUCGGAUCGUAAAGCUCUGUUGUUAGGGAAGAACAAGUACCGUUCGAAUAGGGCGGUACCUUGACGGUACCUAACCAGAAAGCCACGGCUAACUACGUGCCAGCAGCCGCGGUAAUACGUAGGUGGCAAGCGUUGUCCGGAAUUAUUGGGCGUAAAGGGCUCGCAGGCGGUUUCUUAAGUCUGAUGUGAAAGCCCCCGGCUCAACCGGGGAGGGUCAUUGGAAACUGGGGAACUUGAGUGCAGAAGAGGAGAGUGGAAUUCCACGUGUAGCGGUGAAAUGCGUAGAGAUGUGGAGGAACACCAGUGGCGAAGGCGACUCUCUGGUCUGUAACUGACGC